rnacentral:rRNA from 1 species
AGAUGCAAGUACGCCAGUAUUUGCGGAGCCGCUGGUGGGAUACCAACCUUGUUUUAUUGGAAUUCUAACGAGAAGCGUAACGAGCUUGCGGACAGUCUCAGGCGGGCAGUUUGACUGGGGCGGUCGCCUCCGAAAGAGUAACGGAGGCGCCCAAAGGUUCCCUCAGCGCGGACGGAAACCGCGCGAAGAGUGCAAAGGCAGAAGGGAGCUUGACUGCGAGACGGACAGGUCGAGCAGGGACGAAAGUCGGGCUUAGUGAUCCGGUGGUAGAGAGUGGAAUUGCCAUCGCUCAACGGAUAAAAGCUACCCUGGGGAUAACAGGCUUAUCUCUCCCAAGAGUCCAUAUCGACGGGGAGGUUUGGCACCUCGAUGUCGGCUCAUCACAUCCUGGGGCUGAAGUAGGUCCCAAGGGUUGGGCUGUUCGCCCAUUAAAGUGGUACGCGAGCUGGGUUCAGAACGUCGUGAGACAGUUCGGUCCCUAUCCAUCGCGGGCGUAAGAAACUUGAAAGGGGCUGCUCCUAGUACGAGAGGACCGGAGUGGACCGACCAAUGGUGUACCAGUCAUGGCGCCAGCCGUGCAGCUGGGUAGCUACGUCGGGGACGGAUAAACGCUGAAAGCAUCUAAGCGUGAAACCAGCCUAGAGAUGAGGUUUCUCAUUGUUUUAACAAGUAAGGUCCCACAAAGACGAUGUGGUUGAUAGGCCGGGAGUGGAAGUACAGCGAUGUACGGAGCGGACCGGUACUAAUAGACCGAGGACUUGACUUA